rnacentral:rRNA from 1 species
GUCCCAGUUCGGAUUGCAGGCUGCAACCCGCCUGCAUGAAGUUGGAAUCGCUAGUAAUCGCGGAUCAGCAUGCCGCGGUGAAUACGUUCCCGGGCCUUGUACACACCGCCCGUCACACCAUGAGAGUCGGGAACACCCGAAGUCCGUAGCCUAACCGCAAGGGGGCGCGGCCGAAGGUGGGUUCGAUAAUUGGGGUGAAGUCGUAACAAGGUAGC